GGCGGCGGCAAGCGCUGGGUGCCGGGAGCCGGGAGCGCAGCUUUAUAGCGCGCUGAUAGACGGGGUCAGUUGGAGCGGCCGGGGCCAGCGGUGGGGGGCCCGGCCUGCCACCUUGCCUUAUUUGGUCGCUUUAGCACCAUCUAGGCCUGCCAAGGCCAUUCAUGGAGCCAAGGGCAAGAGAGAGGAUCAGCUGGGGGGCUCCCGGACCAUCAAGCUCCCCAUUUGAUUGGCACGUAUGUUGAAGUGUGACACACUGGUAGAAAUGACUGAUACCAUCUCAUUGGUGGAAAACAGGUUUCGAAGAAUCGAGACAUGUGAGAAGGAAAAAGAAAGAUGGCAUGAGGAGGCAAAGCUAGAUCUCUCGUGACUCAGGCAGAUGGAGAAGAAGCAAAGAAAAGGAGAAACAGGGAUGGCCUUAGAGCCAGACAGGCCAAACUUCAAAUCCUGCCUCUGUCACUUGGCACUCACUCUGUAUGCAUUUCAUCAUAGGAAACUCCCUUGCAGUUUGAGUGAGCCUGCUUCAUAUAUCCUAGGAGGCAGGGAACCUCAGAACCGCAUCUGCCUGCAGCCACACAGUUGAGCAAAUGGAAGAGAGAGACUUCAAACCCAGGCACUUGGGUGAAGCCCUGUUGGUAAUCAGCACCAAAAAUGCCCUUCUGUCUACUGAGACUGCUGUUUCUCAGAUGAGGAGGCUAGAAUCACCUGCACCCUGGCUGCCUAAUAGAAAUUCAAAUUCCUAUGUUCUACCCUAGAAAUCUGAAUCCGCAUUUUAAAUGAGCCUUCAGCCCCCUUCCCCAGGUAAGUCUCUCCUUUUUCCACCACAGGCUUUCUUCCCUGAGCCCAUGCAGCUUUGCUAGAUGCAGCCCAGGCUGCCAGUGCUGGCCAGUGUCCAGUUUGGCUGACCUUGUUCACCCCAGUGGGAUGGCAAAGCUGAUAGGUCCGCAGGGUACUGGAGGGCCAGCAAGGCCUUUCACAGCACAGACAUGCCAUGAGGGUGAUGUGCAAGGCAAGCUGAAGGAACAGAAGGUAGGACAGUCCCCG
rnacentral:lncRNA from 1 species